AACGAACGCUGGCGGCGUGGAUAAGACAUGCAAGUCGAACGGGACAAGUAGCAAUAUUUGUCUAGUGGCGAACGGGUGCGUAACACGUGGGCAACAUGCCUGGAAGAGCGGGAUAGCCCGGGGAAACUCGGAUUAAUACCGCAUGUGACAACGGGGCGGAUUCGCCCUGUUUUCAAAGGUGGGGACCGCAAGGCCUGCCGCUUCCAGAUUGGCCCGCGUCCUAUCAGCUAGUUGGCGGGGUAACGGCCCACCAAGGCGAGGCCGGGUAGCUGGUCUGAGAGGACGACCAGCCACACUGGAACUGAGACACGGUCCAGACACCUACGGGUGGCAGCAGUCGAGAAUCGUUCACAAUGGGGGAAACCCUGAUGGAGCGACGCCGCGUGAGGAUGACGGUCUUCGGAUUGUAAACUCCUGUCAUGAAAGAACAAGCGGAGCGGGUGAACAGCCCGCCGAGUUGAUAGUAUUUCAAGAGGAAGGGACGGCUAACUUCGUGCCAGCAGCCGCGGUAA
rnacentral:rRNA from 1 species